CCUACGGGGUGCAGCAGUGGGGAAUAUUGGGCAAUGGGCGAAAGCCUGAACCAGCCACGUCGCGUGAAGGAAGAAGGCUUUCGGGUUGUAAACUCCUUUUGAUAGGGAAGAGCAGAAGACGGUACCUGUCCAAUAAGCCACGGCCAUCUACGUGCCAGCCGCCGCCGUAAUACGUAGGUGGCAAGCGUUGCCCGGAUUGACUGGGUGUAAAGGGCGUGUAGGCGGGCUGACAAGUCAGAUGUGAAAUCCGGGGUCUCAACCCCCGAACUGCAUUUGAAACUGUUGGUCUUGAGUAUGGGAGAGGUAGGCGGAAUUCUUGGUGUAGCGGUGAAAUGCGUAGAUAUUAGGAGGAACACCAGUGGCGAAGGCGGCCUGUUGGACGACAACUGACGGUGAGGCGCGAAAGCGUGGGGAGCAAACAGGAUUAGAUACCCCUGUAGUC
rnacentral:rRNA from 1 species